UGUGUCAGUGUAAGAUCACCCCGAUGACCGGAGGCCAGAGGGUGAUCUAACACUGACACACCAAGUCCGAAUGGGAUAACUAUUUUACAUCCCAGCUGUUUUAGAUUAGACGGAAAACCAUUUACAGUUCAUAAAAUCUACUUUAGAAUGCCACACAACCAUUAUAAUAUACUUUAUAUAUUACUAUAUAAUGUAUACGCUUAAUGACCCUCAAACACGAUGAGUAGAUAUCAAAUAAUGUCAACUCGCCCCACUUGCCAAUCGGCCCACACUAUAUCGCCACUUUAUAAAAAAAAUCGCCCCUCUCUUGUUUACCUACUCGCCCCACUUUUGAAAAAGUGUAAAAUCAAAUUGAACAAUCAGUCUGAAAACUCACUUAUUCAUGUUAUUAACGAAAAAGGUUUAAACCCCACUGAAUAAAGUUUGACAACUCGCCCCACUUAUAAAAAGAUCUUGCUUCCUUUAAGUAUGUCAAAUUACUAUUCAUUCGUAUCCACUCGUCCUGGUGAAGUGGUAUGUGUCGUGGC
rnacentral:lncRNA from 1 species